CGGGGUGUGGCGCAGUUGGCUAGCGCACCAGUAUGGGGUACUGGGGGUCGCAGGUUCGAGUCCUGUCACCCCGA
rnacentral:tRNA from 1 species